rnacentral:rRNA from 1 species
UACAGAGGGUGCAAGCGUUGUUCGGAAUUAUUGGGCGUAAAGGGCGCGUAGGCGGUGCGGUAAGUCACCUGUGAAACCUCUGGGCUUAACUCAGAGCCUGCAGGCGAAAACUGCCGUGCUUGAGUGUGGGAGAGGUGCGUGGAAUUCCCGGUGUAGCGGUGAAAUGCGUAGAUAUCGGGGAGGAACACCUGUGGCGAAAGCGGCGCACUGGACCACAACUGACGCUGAGGCGCGAAAGCUAGGGGAGCAAACAGG